rnacentral:rRNA from 1 species
CAGUCGCCGCGGUAAUCCGUAGGUGGCAAGCGUUAUUCGGAAUUACUGGGCGUAAAGCGCACGUAGGCGGCUUUGUAAGUUAGAGGUGAAAGCCCAGAGCUCAACUCUGGAAUUGCCUUUAAGACUGCAUCGCUUGAAUCCAGGAGAGGUGAGUGGAAUUCCGAGUGUAGAGGUGAAAUUCGUAGAUAUUCGGAAGAACACCAGUGGCGAAGGCGGCUCACUGGACUGGUAUUGACGCUGAGGUGCGAAAGCGUGGGGAGCAAACAGGAUUAGAUACCCCUGUAGUCCCUGUCUCUUAUAC